GAAGAGAGUGUAUUUUUAACAAAUUUGGCAGUCAAAACCUCCCUUAAUUUUACACCUCCCUUACACUAUAAAUUCAUUCCAAAUCCUCGAAAAUUUAUGAGAUAGUCAAAACCUCCCUUAAUUUUACACCUCCCUUACACUAUAAAUUCAUUCCAAAUCCUCGAAAAUUUAUGAGAUAAAAAUCACUCUCUUCCAUCUUCACUUAACUCUCCACUGCCUGUCCAAGUCUCCAUUCCAGAAGUGUUCUCUUUGUAUUGUCGGAAACGGGUUUUAAUACUCUUAGAAAGGAUUUUGGCACGUGGAAUUGCCACUGGAUCGACCUUAAAUCCACAAGACACGACCUUAAAUCCACAAGACACGACAACAACAAAAAGGUUUUGGGAACGUGAAUUCCUUACUUUUCUAUCAUCAAUCGAGGUAGGAUACUUUUAUGUGUAAGUGAUAUGUCCUUUCAAUAUUAUGAUUUUCAUGCGUGAUUUAUUUCAUGAAAUGCUUAUUGACCUGCGGGUCCAAUGAAAUGAAAUGAAAUGUUUGACCUGUGGGUCUCAAAGAAAUGAAAUAAAAUGUGAGAUCGCCUUCAGGCCUUCUCAAAUGUACUAGAACUUUCGACUGAUCACCGAUUGCUCUUGAUGAGAUGAUGAUCAGUACGAUCAACGUGGAUGGUGGCUGAGCGGUGCGCAGGUUGCCAAGUAGAGAAAAACUUCGUAAUUGUUGGUUCGAGACAGUCAACGUGGAGAUGACAACGGGUUGAGGUUGAUGCUCAAGUUUGGGGGAAACUAGAAUCAACACUCAUCACAGCCAUCAACAUAGUAGACCCGAAUCUACCUCAUCGGGGUGAUGGCGAUGUCAACAAUUGAUGUCUUCAGUAUUUGUUAGUGUUGUUUUAUAGGUUUGGUGAGGUGGUGUUUACGUAAAAGUGUAGAAAAUAGCUAUUGACACAAAUCGAAGAGAAAAGAGGAACAAAGGGGCAAAAUAGUUAAAUUCCUACUAGAACUCGACACCCAAGCACAAAGAAGAGCAAAAGAUCAAAACUUCCCUAGGCGUGGCUCCUCAACGCCAUUUGAAGAAACAGGAAAAUCAACAAUUGUGGCGUCCUUGCAUCACCAUUGAAAAUGAGAACCUGAGCCGCCACCCUGCUUGAAGAUGCAGUGCCGCAGUGCCAUUAUAUGGUGCCUAGGCACUGCAUGCUGUCGUCUAGGAUGCAGAUUUUUAGCCCCAUUAAAAGCCCAGAUUGACUCCACAUUCAGGCAAAAGGUUAGAGGAAUUAUAAAUACAUAGGAGUAAUCACUUUUUGAGGGGUUCCACACUUUGAGAAACAAGAGAUACAAUUUGAGAAUUAGGAGAACAAAUCAAAAGAGAAAAAAUCAAGAAAUCGAGGUUUUGAAGAUUGAUAGGGGCAAGAAGAUCAUCUUGGUGCGAGAUUCAUCUGCUUAUCUUCAUCUUUAUUCAACAUCUAGUGAUGUUCUCAAUGGAUAUCUAUUGUUUUUCUUCACACAUUAUGAGUAGCUAAAUCUUUUAUUAAGACAAAUAAUGUAAUCUAUUUGAGAUCUUUUAUUUCUUUUAUUCAAGGUUCUA